AUCGAGUCUUUGAACGCAAGUUGCGCCCGAAGCCAUCAGGUCGAGGGCACGCCUGCCUGGGCGUCACAC
rnacentral:rRNA from 1 species